rnacentral:rRNA from 1 species
UACGUAGGGUGCAAGCGUUGUCCGGAAUUAUUGGGCGUAAAGAGCUCGUAGGCGGUUUGUCACGUCGGAUGUGAAACCCUGAGGCUCAACCUCAGGCCUGCAUUCGAUACGGGCAGACUAGAAUUCGGCAGGGGAGACUGGAAUUCCUGGUGUAGCGGUGAAAUGCGUAGAUAUACGGAGGAACACCUGCGGCGAAGGCGGGUAGCUGGGCCAACACUGACGCUGAUGCGCGAAAGCUAGGGGAGCAAACGGG